rnacentral:lncRNA from 1 species
ACACAGACGUGACAGAAGCAUGCAGCUGACGAUGCGGAGUGGAUAAGAAGAAAAAAGCAAGCUGCGAGCAACGAUUCGAUGGGAAGGGGACGUACACGCGUGAUCAUGCAGAUCCAAUCGGCGCAGGCCACCUAGCAGCUAAGCUAGCCUUAAUGGGAGAGGGAGAGAGACAGAUGGGCAGGAGUGUGGCUACGUGUGCUCACGUACGCCUCUCAUGCACAGGCGAUGCGCCCAAUGAGACCAACGAGCCCACAACUCUGGAUCGGAUUCCUACAUCCCUUUUAUACCCUUAGCUUGUUCAUUCUUUUACCACCACAAAUGCAGAACUGUGCAUCACUGAUGCAAAAAAGCUUAUUCUGAGAAUCUGAACUGCUGCUGCUUGCGAUGCUCUGUACCACGUUGAGUUCGUCCUCGUCACCUGAUCUACCAAGAAGAAUUGUAUUGUGCUUCGCCAAUAAACAAAGCAUUCAGCAUUCGUUUCUUCGUGGACUCGUGCUGAUUCGGACACUCUCGAUGACCUUUCACC